rnacentral:misc_RNA from 1 species
GAAAUGCGAUAAGUAAUGUGAAUUGCAGAAUUCCGUGAAUCAUCGAAUCUUUGAACGCACAUUGCGCCCUCUGGUAUUCCGGGGGGCAUGCCUGUCCGAUCGUCAUUGCGAACCCCUCAAGCACGGCUUGUGUGAUGGGCCCUCCCGCGUCUUGGUCGUCAAGACGGGCCCGAAAAGCAGUGGCGGCUUCGCAGUUAUCCGAUCAGCCAGAGCGUAUGGGGACUUUCUCUCUGUCACACGCCCGCGGCGCGGACCGACGCCUGUCGACCUUUAUUCAUCUUUUUCUCGGUUGACCUCGGAUCAGGUAGGGAUACCCGCUGAACUUAAGC